rnacentral:sRNA from 1 species
UCUGGAGGGCAGUAUGAGCUUUUUGCUGUGAUUGCGCACAUGGGAAUGGCAGACUCUGGUCAUUACUGUGUCUACAUCCGGAAUGCUGUGGAUGGAAAAUGGUUCUGCUUCAAUGACUCCAAUAUUUGCUUGGUGUCCUGGGAAGACAUCCAGUGUACCUAUGGAAAUCCUAACUACCACUG